AUGAUGUUCCUCUUGCGUGGAGAGAGAAGAUGGACUUCGGUUAAAUCACGCAGCUGAAAGGAGCUCAGAGGAGGGAAACAACUCCUUGCUGGAGGUGAUGCGAUGCCUUCCCAUGCACGUCCUGCAUCUGACAAAUAGGUGACAACAGGACAAGAGAUAAUCAAUAGGACAUGAGAAACAUGGAGUUUAAGCACAGGAAGAAAAUUAAUAAACAAAGAGAUUUCCUUCAUGGGGAUGGAUAAUUGUAGGAGACUGCUUGAAGAAGGG
rnacentral:lncRNA from 1 species